rnacentral:rRNA from 1 species
GACGAACGCUGGCGGCGUGCUUAACACAUGCAAGUCGAACGGAAAGGCCCUGCUUUUGUGGGGUGCUCGAGUGGCGAACGGGUGAGUGACACGUGAGUAACCUGCACUUGACUUUGGGAUAACUUCAGGAAACUGGGGCUAAUACCGGAUAGGAGCUCCUGCUGCAUAGUGGGGGUUGGUAAGUUUCGGCGGUUGGGGAUGGACUCGCGGCUUAUCAGCUUGUUGGUGGGGUAGUUGCUUACCAAGCCUUUGACGGGUAGCCGGCCUGAGAGGGUGACCGGCCACAUUGGGACUGAGAUACGGCCCAGACUCUUACGGGAGGCAGCAGUGGGGAAUAUUGCAGAAUGGGCGGGAGCCUGAUGCAGCAACGCCGCGUGCGGGAUGACGGCUUUCGGGUUGUAAACCGCUUUCGCAUGUGACGAAGCGUGAGUGACGGUAAUGGGUAAAGAAGCACCGGCUAACUACGUG